UGCUUUCUGGAAUACCCCCCAGGUGGUGUGUUUGUUAUUUAUUCAGCAUUCAUUCAUAACGCAUACAUUAGGACUACAUAUAAUCUAAAUAAUGAGAACCUAAAAUCCGUCAAAAUGUCAACCUGUUUUACAAGCAGCCCAAUUCCGCGAUAAAACGGUUAAGGCUAGAUCAUGGGACAGGUGCGACUACAUGCGCAUAUCAGUUUUGGGGAAUUUUUGUCAAGCUGAACAACAAUAAAUACUGUAUUUACAUUAUUGUAAAGGGUGGGGGUAACGUUAAUAAAACACAAUCGUAUAGGUAGCAAAUUUAAUUUACUUUUGCUGUACCCCUUCUAGUCACAACCCGGCAAAAUUUUAAUAAAUAAAUAAAUAAACAAACAAAUAAAUAAACCCGAACUUGGCAAAAGCCUACUUCCGAAAGCACAACCGGACCAGCCUCUCUAAACCUCUAUUGUUUGAACAGAUGCAUACAACACCACGUGUUGCCGCCUGGGCGAGGUCAAGCGCGCACACUGCGAGGACUGUCAGAGUUCUGUGGGGUUCCUAUGUUACGCAAAAUGAACAUUUAAACAAUGACACACGAGUUUCAGUUUUCUGAGACUUUACGAAAAUGAUUCGCACACUUGAUUUGUUCUUUUUGUUGUGCCUAGUUGGUGUGUUUGAUGUCGAGUCGCAUGGAGUGUCAGUGAUGGUAGGAGAUUCUGUCACUCUGGACUCUAACGCUUCUGAAAUAGAGCUGAAGAAUGAGAUCGAGUGGAGGUUUAAUGGCAUUCUCAUAGCUAACGUUAUUAUGGGCAACCUCACCUAUCAUGAUUAUACGAGAUUCAAAGACAGACUGAAGCUGGACAGAAACGGAUCUCUCACAAUCAAAGAUACCAGAAUAACAGACGCUGGAGUAUAUGAAUUGAGUAUUACUAGUAAUAGGGAGCAUAUCAAGAGAUUCAGUGUAACUGUUUAUGGUGAGUAGAGUAUAAUAUGUCCUCUUCAUAUUCAUAAUGUAAACAGACUACUAUAUCAUUCUUAUAGCCUAAUAGUAAUAUAUUUCAGGAUUGUUUUACUAUUUGAAUUUACAGAUAUAUUUCAGACUAUGGUCCAAAUUUACUGUUAAAACCGUUUAGACUUUUUAAAACUGUAUUUAUUUAUUUUUAUUAUUUAUAGAGGCAUCA
ensembl:lncRNA